CUGUCAACCAGCAUGAGAGCUCUGAGGACAUCUCUAAGCAGAAGUCAGUAUAGAAGUGUACACAUCUAAGUAAUUUUAAAUGCAGUUAAAUUCUAUUACAAAAACUAGGUGGUGUCCCCUAUCAUAUUUUCUUAUUUUAACCACUUGAAGUUGUGGGAUUUUAAGAUGACUUAGAGCCAGGGAAGACUAUUUUCUUUUGUUAUUAUUGGUAUCUCUUCAGUCUGUUGGCAACUAAGGAAAGCGGACAAGAGUCACUUUGGAGUGGUCCAGCCUCUGCUGGGGCAUCCUGCAGGGUGCAACAGAGCAGAAGCUAUAUUGGAGCAAUGUCAGCCAAGAAAAAGUUUGCUGAUCUCUGCUCUAGAAUAUCAAGGUGUGAGAAUAAGUUUGGGUAACUGGGAAGAUAAUCAAUUGAAGCCUCAUGAAGAUUGUGUUGAGAAUCAAGAACACCUGUGGCAGUACAACUUAGAUGACAGUAGACCAUAGAUGUCAGCAUGACUUAGUUGUUUUUUUACUGAAAAACUUUGCCCAGAAAAGCCAAAGCUAUAAGCCAAUAAAUAACUUUAUGGUUUACUUCAGAAAAUUCCCUUAGAACAAUUUAUCAAAGACAAUGGCCUGCUCACCUGGACAAACAGUUUACUCAUCAGUGAUGGUUUACUUAGCAAGACUCGCUUCAAGACUGGACUUCUCUGUGAUAGGCAAUCCUGAAAGAUUAUAACACAAUCUCUGUUAAAUUCCAUUCCAUUCACCACUUUGAAAGGCCUACUUAAACUACUCGAGUUCAGACCCCAAAGUCUUAAUACCAUUUUAGUUUGACUUCUCUUUAUUGAGACACUCUUAAAACUCCAUCAAGGUAGUUUACUCCCUUACUGCAGCAAGUUUUAACAAAUUUAUCUCUGCUUUGCUAACAGGAUGCCUGGUGAUAUUUGGGGGAAAAUCAACACUAUUUUGUUUAAUUCUGUGUUUAUAGAAAAAUAACAGGAGUUCUGUAAGAAUUUAUUGAAUGAAUGAAUGAAGGAAUGGAUGUAGGCCUCCAUCCUCC
rnacentral:lncRNA from 1 species